AGCAUAUCAAUAAGCGGAGGAAAAGAAACCAACAGGGAUUGCCCUAGUAACGGCGAGUGAAGCGGCAACAGCUCAAAUUUGAAAUCUGGCUUUCUUGGAGGCCCGAGUUGUAAUUUGCAGAGGGUGCUUUGGCAUCGGCAGCGGUCUAAGUUCCUUGGAACAGGACGUCAUAGAGGGUGAGAAUCCCGUACGUGACCGCCAGCCUUCGCCGUGUAAAGCCCCUUCGACGAGUCGAGUUGUUUGGGAAUGCAGCUCUAAAUGGGAGGUAAAUUUCUUCUAAAGCUAAAUACCGGCCAGAGACCGAUAGCGCACAAGUAGAGUGAUCGAAAGAUGAAAAGCACUUUGGAAAGAGAGUCAAACAGCACGUGAAAUUGUUGAAAGGGAAGCGCUUGCCGCCAGACGUGCCCGUGGUGGUUCUCCUCCGCGGGCAGGCCAGCAUCAGUUUGGGCGAUCGGAAAAUGGCCUCUGUCAUGUAUCUCCCUUCGGGGUGACCUUAUAGGGGAGGCGUAAUGCGAUCAGCCCGGACUGAGGACCGCGCAUCUGCUAGGAUGCUGGCGUAAUGGCUGUAAGCGGCCCGUCUUGAAACACGGACCAAGGAGUCUAACAUCUAUGCGAGUGUUUGGGUGUCAAGCCCGAGCGCGUAAUGAAAGUGAACGGAGGUGGGAACCCUCUCUGGGGGUGCACCAUCGACCGAUCCUGAAGUCUUCGGAUGGAUUUGAGUAAGAGCAUGGCUGUUGGGACCCGAAAGAUGGUGAACUAUGCUUGAAUAGGGUGAAGCCAGAGGAAACUCUGGUGGAGGCUCGCAGCGGUUCUGACGUGCAAAUCGAUCGUCAAAUUUGGGCAUAGGGGCGAAAGACUAAUCGAACUAUCUAGUAGCUGGUUCCUGCG
rnacentral:rRNA from 1 species